GACGAACGCUGGCGGCGUGCUUAACACAUGCAAGUCGAACGGUGAACGAGGGAGCUUUCUCCCUCCGGAUCAGUGGCGAACGUGUUAGUAACACGUUAGCAAUCUCCCCCGAACUCUGGGAUAAACGUUGGAAACGACUUCUAAUACCGGAUACGAUGCGGUAUGGCAUCCUCUCCGCGUGUAAAGAACUUCGGUUCGGGAUGAGGUCGCGGCCUAUCCUCUUGUUUGUGAGGUAACGUCUAAAGAAGGCGACGACGGGUAGCCGGCCUGAGAGGGUGACCGGCCACACUGGGACUGAGACACGGCCAAGACUCAUACGGGAGGCAGAAGUAGGGAAUAUUAAACAAGGGGCGCAAGCCUGAUGCAGCAACGCCGAGUGAGGGAGGACGGCCUUGGGGUUGUAAACCUAUUAUAGCAGGGAAGAAGCGAAAGUGACGGUACCUGAAGAAAAAGCACCGGCUAACUACGUG
rnacentral:rRNA from 1 species